UAAAAGCUUUUAAUGUUUUUACUAUAAGCAUCUUUUCUUUAUACAAUUUAUCAGUCUCUGUAGAGAGCAUCAAGAAUUGUCAUUGCUAACUAUAUUUCAAAUCAUUUAAAAAAAGUAAACAAGGCAAUGUCUACAACAGAUGUAUAGAUAUCUCAAUAGAAUACAACAUAAUUUCAUGAAAAAUAGAUCAACUGCUGGAAGAAAACUCAAAAAACUGCAAACAUUUAUUUGUAGAAGAUAAAUAUGACUUGUCAUUUAUUUCAUUGUCAAUAGAUCAGCCUAUCACAAGUUGUAGAUACUGACAAUGUGCCAACAAGUAUAACAUAACUGCUUUGUUUGUUAUACAUUUGUCUGUUUUACAAGGUUAACAGUCUCCGUAGAGACCAUCAAAAAUUGCCAUUGCUGACUAUAUUUCAAGUCAUCAAGGCGGGCAUUGGGUUAAAGUUUUCAACCAGCAAUAAUCACACCUCAGAUAAACCUCAUAGGUUAUGAUACUGCCACUGCGAAAGGAUGACUAAUACCAAGUACUGUGAGGGAGUCUCUAAUCUGUACAUACCCCUCUGCUAGGGUUUAACACUGCAGAAUGACUAAAGGAAAGCAGUCAGGCUACACUCAGGUCAUAGACAAAGACAGGGUGAGGCCUAGGCUGGAUGAGAUGAACAAUGAAAGCUCAGCAAUCAGGCAGUUAUCAGACGUCAUUCUGAGAAGGAGGCCAGAUAACACCACUUGAUUUUGAAUAUCUACUUCACACUCAUAGUGGUGUUGUUGGGCCUGGGCAUGUGAGAAUAUACCCCUCAGGCCUAAAUCUUUUUUUGUUUAUUCUUUUGCCAUUUUUUUUUUUUUUUUUACAAAAGGAGGAAUAAUGCAUAAAACAACUUUUCAAGACUUGAAAAGGGUUUUGUCACUCAAAUUAUUGUUACAUUCAAUUACUGAAAAAAAGUAUUUCCAAUAUACACCUUUACAUUUGAUUCUAUCAGUGUAGAUCAUUUAAAUAAGACCAAUUCCAAGACACACACUACACAGACCACUGGUCUUGCUGCCUGCUCUGGCUGUAAUGGAACAUGUCCUGACUAUAAAAGAAAGCACAUCUGAUAUUUUAUUUUCAUUUUAACCUUAAAUUACUCUAAAACUGCACAGUUACCAAGAUUUAGUACAGGCCAUGAUUUAUCAAGACCUUGACAACACUAUUGAUUGAGAAUCUUACUCAUGUCAUUAACAUGUAAUUCUAUUGAGUCCUUCCUGUGCUUCAAACCAGUCAUACAGGGAGACUAAUUAGAUAAGUUUUCUUUUACAAUGUAUCAGUCUCCAUAGAGACUACCAAAAAUUGCCAUUGCUGACUAUAUUUCAAGUCAUCAAGGCGGGUAUUGGGUUAAAGUUUUCAACCAGCAAUAAUCACACCUCAGAUAAACCUCAUAGGUUAUGAUACUGCCACUGCAAAAGGAUGACUACUACCAAGUACUGUGAGGGAGUCUCUAAUCUGUACAUACCCCUCUGCUAGGGUUUAACACUGCAGAAUGAACUAAAGGAAAGCAGUCAGGCUACACUCAGGUCAUAGACAAAGACAGGGUGAGGCCUUGGCUGGAUGAGACAAAAGCUCAGAAAGUAGGCAAUUAUCAGGCUUCAUUCAAUGAGGACUAGGCCAGAUUAACACCACUUGAUUCUGAAUAAUUACUUCACUCACUGUCACACAGUGGUGUUGUUUGGCCUGGGCAUCUGAUGGCACACUCUUCAAGAAAUAGUUUCAGACCUAGCUCUGUGUUUUUUUUGGUAAAAUGGCCUUCUU